rnacentral:rRNA from 1 species
ACACUCCUGCGGGAGGCAGCAGUGGGGAAUAUUGCACAAUGGGCGCAAGCCUGAUGCAGCCAUGCCGCGUGUAUGAAGAAGGCCUUCGGGUUGUAAAGUACUUUCAGCGGGGAGGAAGGCGAUAAGGUUAAUAACCUUGUCGAUUGACGUUACCCGCAGAAGAAGCACCGGCUAACUCCGUGCCAGCAGCCGCGGUAAUACGGAGGGUGCAAGCGUUAAUCGGAAUUACUGGGCGUAAAGCGCACGCAGUCGGUCUGUCAAGUCGGAUGUGAAAUCCCCGGGCUCAACCUGGGAACUGCAUUCGAAACUGGCAGGCUAGAGUCUUGUAGAGGGGGGUAGAAUUCCAGGUGUAGCGGUGAAAUGCGUAGAGAUCUGGAGGAAUACCGGUGGCGAAGGCGGCCCCCUGGACAAAGACUGACGCUCAGGUGCGAAAGCGUGGGGAGCAAACAGGAUUAGAUACCCUUGUAGUCCC